GACGAAGGUGGCUAGCGUUGCUCGGAUUUACUGGGCAUAAAGCGCGCGUAGGUGGUCCUGUAAGCGAGAGAUGAAAGCCCAUGGCUCACCCAUGGAACUGUCCCUCGGACUGCAGGGCUGGAGGGCGGGAGGGGAGAAUGGAAUUCCCGGUGUAGCGGUGAAAUGCGUAGAUAUCGGGAGGAACGCCGGUGGCGAAAGCGGCUCUCUAGACCGAUACUGACGCUCAUACGCGAGAGCGUAGGUAGCAAACAGG
rnacentral:rRNA from 1 species